ensembl:lncRNA novel transcript (LOC100127920)
ACCUGUCUGAGGAUGAAGCUGGUCGAAGUGGUGCUGCCAUCGGAUCUUUUCAACCUGCUCCUCCGGGUUGUGGUGCCUCGGGCCACCUGGACUCGACACACGGGGGCCAGAGAGAAGCCGGUUGAAGAAGCAGCCACAAUCUGGAACAUACUGGCUCUGAAGAGACAAGAAGCUAGAGAGCUACAGGAAGUUCAUGAUGCCUCUUAAGCUUCUGCUUAGAUGUAGGCAUCUGUUGCAUCUGCUCAUAUCCCUUUGGCCAAUGUAUGACAUAGACAUACAACCAAUUCCAAAAUCACUGAAUGAGGACAUAAUACUCCAGAAGUCAAGUGCAUGGGCAAAUACAAACAGUCCUCUUACAGAAAAAUGGGAGAGUAAAAAACUGCAAACAACAAUACAAUCUUCCACCCGAAGGAUAACUUGCUUAAAACAGACAACUAUAAAAUAUAAUCACCUCUAUCUUUCAUCUUCAUUCUGCCAUUUUGGGUGGUUGUCAUAAAUUAUGCAGUU